rnacentral:rRNA from 1 species
GACGAACGCUGGCGGCGUGCUUAAUACAUGCAAGUCGAACGGAAAGGCCCUGCUCUUGUGGCGUGCUCGUGUGGCGAACGCGUGUGUAUCACGCGUGUAACCUGCCCCUGUCUUUGGGAUAACUCCAGGAAACUCGGGCUCAUAUCCGAUAUGAGAUCUUGAAGCACGGUGGGGGAGGGUAAGAGUCGGCGGUUCGGGAUGGACUCGCGGCUUAUCAGCUUGUUGGUGAGGUAGUGGCUUACAAAGGCUCCGACGGGUAGCCGGCCUGAGAGGGUGACCGGGCCCAAUGGUACUGAGAGAGGACCCAGAAGGCUACGGGAGGCAACGGUGGGAAAUAUUGCGCAGUAGGCCGAAGCGUGAUACAACGUUGCCGCGUGCGAGAUGACUGCCUUCGGGGUGUAAACCGCUUUCGCCUGUGACGAAGCGUGAGUGACGGUAAUUGGUAAGAAAGCACCGGCUAACUACGUG